GACGAACGCUGGCGGCGUGCCUAAUACAUGCAAGUAGAACGCUGAAGGAGGAGCUUGCUUCUCCGGAUGAGUUGCGAACGGGUGAGUAACGCGUAGGUAACCUGCCUGGUAGCGGGGGAUAACUAUUGGAAACGAUAGCUAAUACCGCAUAAGAGUAGAUGUUGCAUGACAUUUGCUUAAAAGGUGCAAUUGCAUCACUACCAGAUGGACCUGCGUUGUAUUAGCUAGUUGGUGAGGUAACGGCUCACCAAGGCGACGAUACAUAGCCGACCUGAGAGGGUGAUCGGCCACACUGGGACUGAGACACGGCCCAGACUCCUACGGGGGGCAGCAGUAGGGAAUCUUCGGCAAUGGACGGAAGGCUGACCGAGCAACGCCGCGUGAGUGAAGAAGGUUUUCGGAUCGUAAAGCUCUGUUGUAAGAGAAGAACGAGUGUGAGAGUGGAAAGUUCACACUGUGACGGUAUCUUACCAGAAAGGGACGGCUAACUACGUG
rnacentral:rRNA from 1 species